CCUACGGGUGGCUGCAGUGGGGAAUAUUGCACAAUGGGGGAAACCCUGAUGCAGCGACGCCGCGUGAGUGAAGAAGGACUUAGUUAUUUAAAACUCUAUCAGCAGGGAAGUAAAUGACGGUACCUGAGUAAUAAUCCCCGGCUAACUACGUGCCGGCAGCCGCGGUACUACGGAGGGGGCAAGCGUUAUCCGGAUUUACUGGGUGUAAAGGGAGCGUAGACGGCAGUGCAAGUCUGGAGUGAAAGGCGGGGGCUCAACCCCCGGACUGCUCUGGAAACUGGACGGCUGGAGUGCAGGAGAGGUAGGUGGAAUUCGUAGUGUAGCGGUGAAAUGCGUAGAUAUUAGGAGGAACACCAGUGGCGAAGGCGGCUUACUGGACUGUAACUGACGUUGAGGCUCGAAAGCGUGGGGAGCAAACAGGAUUAGAUACUCGAGUAGUC
rnacentral:rRNA from 1 species